rnacentral:rRNA from 1 species
GAUGAACGCUAGCGGCAGGCCUAAUACAUGCAAGUCGAGGGGCAGCAGUACUUUCGGAGUAGCUGGCGACCGGCGCACGGGUGCGUAACGCGUAUGCAAUCUACCCACAGCAGAGGGAUAGCCCGUGGAAACAUGGAUUAAUACCUCAUAACACAGGGAGCCCACCUGGGCAUAUUGUUAAAGCUACGGCGGCAGUGGAUGAGCAUGCGUCCCAUUAGUUAGUUGGUACGGUAACGGCGUACCAAGACGAUGAUGGGUAGGGGUUCUGAGAGGAUGAUCCCCCACACUGGUACUGAGAUACGGACCAG